GCCUAUAGCUCAGUGGUAGAGCGCGGCACUUGUAAUGCCGAGGUCGGUUGUUCAAUCCAGCCUGGGGGCA
rnacentral:tRNA from 1 species